AGAGUUUGAUCAUGGCUCAGAAUCAACGCUGGCGGCGCGCUUAACACAUGCAAGUCGCACGAGAAAGUGGAGCAAUCCAUGAGUACAGUGGCGUACGGGUGAGUAACACGUGGGUAAUCUACCUCUUAGUGGGGAAUAACUCUGGGAAACCGGAGCUAAUACCGCAUAAGCCUGGAAAGGGAAAGCAGCAAUGCGCUGAGAGAGGAGCCCGCGGCCGAUUAGCUAGUUGGUAGGGUAAAGGCCUACCAAGGCAAUGAUCGGUAGCCGGCCUGAGAGGGCACACGGCCACACUGGCACUGAAACACGGGCCAGACUCCUACGGGAGGCAGCAGUGGGGAAUCUUGCACAAUGGGGGAAACCCUGAUGCAGCGACGCCGCGUGAGCGAUGAAGCCCUUCGGGGUGUAAAGCUCUUUCGGCAGGAACGAUAAUGACGGUACCUGAAGAAGAAGCUGCGGCUAACUACGUGCCAGCAGCCGCGGUAAUACGUAGGCAGCAAGCGUUGUUCGGAGUUACCGGGCGUAAAGAGUGUGUAGGCUGUUCUCUAAGUUUGGUGUGAAAUCUCCCGGCUCAACUGGGAGGGUGCGCCGAAAACUGGGGGGCUCGAGUGUGGGAGAGGAAAGCGGAAUUCCUGGUGUAGCGGUGAAAUGCGUAGAUAUCAGGAGGAACACCUGCGGUGUAGACAGCUUUCUGGACCAUCACUGACGCUGAGACACGAAAGCGUGGGUAGCAAACAGGAUUAGAUACCCUAGUAGUCC
rnacentral:rRNA from 1 species